rnacentral:lncRNA from 1 species
UUGUUUAUUUCAGGUUCAAGGACAUUUCGAAAGCAUUUCAACAGUCUUUUUUUUUUCAUUUACAGUUUUUUCCAGUUCCCUUGAGCUCCUGCCUUACUGAACCUCUCAACAGAUGCUGAAAUCACAGGCUCUUGAAUGGCUUUGAAAUGCUGUUCCUUCCGUAAGAAUGUUACCUUGAUAAAUGAGGUGACAAGCAUUGACGAUGGUGCCAAGGAUCUCCUUUGAGGGACUGAGCAAGAGAAGAAUAGAGAAUGCACCCGAAGUCCAUGUUGUUGGUCAUUAGUUCUUCAGGGAGACCAGCUGGCUCAAAAGAGAAGCGAAUCUAUCAGGAAAAAGUUACCUUAGAAGAGCCGCACCUGAGGGAGCCUUGGGUAUACGAAGAUCUCCAAUUCAACGCAGGUGUACUUUCAAAUUUCCCUCUCACCCAUCUCACUGAAUAUGCAACAAACAUCUUGUAAUCUGUGCCUUUCGAGGUAAGGCAAAUAUGGACAUAAGCUUAGCUCGCUCUUCAAGGAAAGUUUGAA